CAUGCUGUCUGCCCUUUAAACAGUGUGGAUCUCUGCAAGCCUCUUAAUGGUGAUGGAAAGAAGAGGCAGGGAUGAAAAUCUGGCUUGCUGAUAGAGCCUACAACAUGCACUUUAUUAAGUUGCUGCUUUAGGAAAGGAAGCUUUUCCUUGAGCCCUGUAUGUCACCAUUACAUUGCCAACACUAAAUUAUUUUUUUUCUUUUCAGUGUUCCACUUUCAUGCAUAUUUUCCUCCUUUCUGGGUGAUAGAGGAUUCAUAGGCCAUCUGGAUUCUGAAACAUCUGGACACUGAAUUUCUUCAGAGGAGAAUCAGAGGAAAGAGACGAUCAGUGGUACUGGGUGUCUCCGGAGAGAUUUAAAUCAACGAUGAUAUUUUGGUUGCUCCCUUUGGAACAUUAACACAAAAAGUGAAAGGAAAAAACAACACAUCACAGGAACCCAGUGUUCUAAGAACACCAAGAGUGUAUAAGAAGAAACUCUGAAAUGGCUCCAGAUACCAUGAGCUCCUUACUUCUCCUUUGCUUUGUUCACUCUGAGGAUUUGAAGGCAAGCAGCACCCACCCCACCCCCCAGGUGUGAACAACAGGAGAUUACUCAUAGAUGGUAUAAACAGAAGGUUCACUGCGUGCAAGAUACUGUACUUGGCCGGUAGGAGGUAAUAGCAUUCAGCCUCAGGAAUCAGUGUGAAAACAGAGCAGAAUAUUUGGAACUGCUGUGUAUCCUGAGGGGAGAGAUCUAUAUUUGUAGCUCUAGAGAGCAGAACUGAGGCAAAAGGGUGAGAGGACAGGAGGCAGAUCUGAGUUUUCUACAGAAAAACUUUACAAUAAGAGCUGCUGAAACAGAGAGGACUCGCCUAAGAACUGCUUACUGAUCUCAUUGAUGAGAGCUGUCAGGCUGCCUCCUUGCAACUUGUAAUUCAAGGUAAUUAAAAACUAGCUUUUUUAGCAGCUUGAACUUUGUUUUGCAGUGAAUUGGAAAUAUCGCAUGCUGCAGAAAUAGAGAAUGUCCUAGUCACCUGCUUGGCCUUAUGCCAAGAGAAGGUGUGAAAAACAGGUACAGGAGUUAAUCACCUAGCCAGAGUGAGGACUUUCAAGCCCUUGUAUAUGUGUCUUUAUUCAUUGUUUUGCUCAAGGGAAGAAUGCUAAAGUGCAGAGCCGAGUAUCAUCUUCUGAUUGCAGUUUAGGACCUUAUUUAACAGGUCAAAGCCAAGGUAAAGCCAAGGUGAAGAACAAGGCAGGCAUGCAUGGGCCCAGGCUGUCCAGAAAAAUGCACCAGCCAGCAGUGCCGGCCUCUGGGGAUGGAAGAAGAGGGCUGGGGUGGCAGGAAGAAUUACUUUUCACUGGGUUCUAUUUUGUUCCAUUUGAACAUUUUACCUGAUGUUCGUAUUACUUUAAAAACAAACAAAUGUAGUGAUAGCUAAAUAGCGUUUGCCCUCCCAGCACCGUGACAAGCAAUCCCAAAGGUCAGCACCAGCAAAAUGGCGCAGGAGCCAAGGCUGCCACCGGGAGGCCCAGCUCCUCACUUGUUUUCCUCUUGACCGCAGCCAGUGUCCUUAGACUCUCACCCUGUUAAAGCAAGUGCCCAAGAAACUACCUGACUGCUGAAUACAAAUGAAGGAUGACAGUCAUGCUUUCAUACAUACACAUUCAAAAGCAAUGUCCAACUGAAAGGAAUGACACAAAUCUUCAUCGUCAAGACCGUUGGAAACCAAUUUUCCUAGAUUACACAAUUGGUUGGGGAGGAUGCCUGUGUGUGUUACAGUUUGGAGGGAAGAGGAAUAUCUGUGCAGGGAAGAGGAGGGCUGUGAUCAUGAGCAGAAGAUGGAGUCCUGGACUGGAGGACACCCCACCAGGGGCAUAGGCGGGCCUGACCAUGCACACCUCUGCACAGGAUGCUGGGUAAACCGGGUCCUUACUCCCAGCCCCUCCCAAUGGGGCUGGUGUCUGCGCGAGCCCUGAGCACAAUGAUACGCAUAAAACACUGUCACUGCAUCCCUUCAAUGUGGUAGAGCAAUUGCACCUGGCAGAACCCUGGGCUAGUGAAAGUAUUUCUGCAGGGUUCUUAGACAGCUCUCCAUGAGGCUGCUCUAACCUUCCUUAGCUGCUUGACUUUCCUCCCUUCUGCCUUUCAAUGCCCUCUUGUGAUACUGCUUCAAACCCAAAUUUUCUUUUUCUAGACACAUAUGCAUGCAUUAGAACACAGUAAGACAAAAACUUACCUACUUGAGAAUUAAAUUUUUCACCUCUAGGCAAGUUAUUAAGGCCCAACUCAUUCAUCUUCUCCUAUUUGCUGUUUUCGGCAAUAUAAUUACAUGGCACUGACCAGUGAAAAUGCUGGUAAAAGGCUUGUGUUAUGACUCUGUGCCUGCCCUGCAUGCCCAUGUUAUUCUGCAUAAAAGUUAGCAUGGGAACACCAGCUCCUGUUACUGAAUAAUCCAUGUGAGGUCUACUUGAUGACAUCUGCUUUUGUGUCCAUAUGAGAAAUUAUUACAUUAAGAUUAUGCAGCAUUGACCUUUUUUUUCAAAAUGGAAACACCUUCUUUGCCUUUGCUUCUUAAAGUAAUAAAUGCCUGCUUUCCAGAAACCUAACACCAGAGAAAUACAAAGUUGUAAAUAAGAGUCCUCUUCAUAAUUUUCUCUGACUGGGGUAUCCACUGUGACAAGUCUGGUAUAUAUUUUUAGAGAUAUCUGUUAUGCACAACCACUAAUGAGUGUAUAUUGUACAUCCUCUGCCAGAACUCUGUUACAAGAGACAAAAUCUAAUGCAUGCUAUCUUAAGCACAAAAAAAAGUCUCACAUCACUUAAAGAAUCCUGGUAGUUUCAGGCAUAGCUUGAUCCAGGGACUCAAAUGAUAUUACCAGGACUUGGUUUCUAUUUGUCUCUCACCUUUGCCAUUCUUCAUGUUGGUAGUGUUCUUGGGGUCCAUAUCAUGUCCACAAACAGCUCCAGGCUUACCUGUCCUCAGAUUAAAUUCUAGCAACAAAAGGUGGAAAAUCCAUUCUUACUAUUUCUUACACAAGUCUUAUGAUCUGUAUGGAUCAACAUAGCUCAAACGAUCACCUCAAACCAAUCAAUAUACCCAGGAAAAUGAAAUGCUCUAAUUGACCAAGAUUGAGUAUCACACAAACCCCUGGAGCCAAUUGUGAAGUCAACUCCUUCCUGUUCACAUGGACAGAGAGUGGAUGCCUCCAGAAAAUCAUGGGCUGUUGACAGAAAAGUAAAUAAGUGCUAAUAAACAAAAGCAACAAACACCCCCAAUACAUUCGCUUCUUUCACCACAGGCAUCAGAGCAAGCUACAAAAUUUGUGGGAUUCAGUUCGCCAUGAAAAUAUGGGAUCCAUAUUCAAAAAAUCCUAAAAAGAAAAAAGUGGCAUUAAUGGUACUAAAAUAUAACACUAUUUUUGCUCUUCUACCUUCUUCCUGUCAACUGAUCAUGGUGUUUGUUUUUUACUAUAUGAUGUUGUUUUAAGUAAAGAAAAAUUAAAAAUUCAAUUUAUUAGCAUGGAUAUAACUAUUCAUAUUUAUAUUUUCUGUAUCAGUUUUGAAUGCAGAUAUAAAGCUCUUAACUCCUGUAUGGAUUACGAAAAUUGUACAACUGGAAUUUUGCAGCUCCUACCUACACACAGAUUUCAUUCUUAGGCAGAACAGUGGAAACAAACUCAAUUGCUUUAAUUUCACCUCUUGAUAGGUGCACCUUCUACAACACUGUCUACCUGCAGCUUACGGAUGAGUUAGGAAAGACUUAAAGGAAAUGUAAUUAUGUGUUUCUCUCUUCUCCCUGUACUUCUAUGCCAUCAUUUUUGGCACAAGUGGUUGGCAAAUACACAGACGUAAUACAAGCAUGAAAGGAUAUGGUAGGGUUUCUCAGUUGUUCACGGUUCUCAGAACACCAUUACUUCUUUCUGCAUUCAAAGCAAGUUUUGGUUUGCAUGGAACACAUGGCCUCUUGGAGCCAUCAGGGCCCCCAUCUGCUCACCUGGAGAUGGAAAUCCCUUA